rnacentral:misc_RNA from 1 species
AUUUGAUCCAACUCAAAUUUUAUUCAAAUAUUAAAUAGAUAAAUUUUAUUUUUAAAAUAAAAAUUUUAUAAAAACAAUUUUGCAAGCGACUCAAAUAAAAACCACUUGGAACUUGUAAAUUGAUCUAAACUUAUUUUUAUAUAAUAAAGGUGAUAAAUUUUAAUCCGAUCCAUUAUAUUUAAAGCCACUAAUAGUUCAUUUCAAUCCACACAAAAUGUAAGAAUGACUUAAAUGAAAAAUUGAGGACCAAACAAGCCCAUUUGUAUUGACAUAAUCAACCCAAAUUAAUUGGAAAAAAGAUUAACAUUUUGAUUUGACGAUUAAAUUUAUUUUGUAUACAUAGCAA